rnacentral:rRNA from 1 species
UGAGGAAUCUUGCGCAAUGGGGGAAACCCUGACGCAGCAACGCCGCGUGAGUGAUGAAGGCCUUCGGGUCGUAAAGCUCUGUCGGAUGGGAAGAAAGUCUUUGCGGUGAAUACCCGCAAGGAUCGACGGUACCGUUAAAGGAAGCACCGGCUAACUCCGUGCCAGCAGCCGCGGUAAUACGGAGGGUGCAAGCGUUGUUCGGAAUUAUUGGGCGUAAAGAGCGUGUAGGCGGCCUAGUAAGUCAGAUGUGAUAUCCCUUGGCUUAACCAAGGAAGGGCAUUUGAAACUGCUGGGCUUGAGUACGGGAGGGGGAAGUGGAAUUCCCGGUGUAGAGGUGAAAUUCGUAGAUAUCGGGAGGAACAUCAGUGGCGAAGGCGGCUUCCUGGAUCGAUACUGACGCUGAGACGCGAAAGCGUGGGGAGCAAACAGGAUUAGAUACCCUGGUAGUCCACGCCGUAAACGUUGGGCACUAGGUGUUGUGGGUAUUGACCCCCGCAGUGCCGAAGUUAACGCAUUAAGUGCCCCGCCUGGGGAGUACGGCCGCAAGGCUA